AACGAACGCUGGCGGCAUGCCUAACACAUGCAAGUCGAACGAGACCUUCGGGUCUAGUGGCGCACGGGUGCGUAACGCGUGGGAACCUUCCCUUAGGUUCGGAAUAACUCCCCGAAAGGGGUGCUAAUACCGGAUAAUGUCUUCGGACCAAAGAUUUAUCGCCUUUGGAUGGGCCCGCGUUGGAUUAGCUAGUUGGUAGGGUAAAAGCCUACCAAGGCGACGAUCCAUAGCUGGUCUGAGAGGAUGAUCAGCCACACUGGGACUGAGACACGGCCCAGACUCCUACGGGAGGCAGCAGUGGGGAAUAUUGGACAAUGGGCGAAAGCCUGAUCCAGCAAUGCCGCGUGAGUGAUGAAGGCAUUAGGGUUGUAAAGCUCUUUUACCCGGGAUGAUAAUGACAGUACCGGGAGAAUAAGCUCCGGCUAACUCCGUG
rnacentral:rRNA from 1 species